AUGGAAAGCUGGCGGCAGGCCUAACACAUGCAAGUCGAACGGUAACAGGAAGCAGCUUGCUGCUUUGCUGACGAGUGGCGGACGGGUGAGUAAUGUCUGGGAAACUGCCCGAUGGAGGGGGAUAACUACUGGAAACGGUAGCUAAUACCGCAUAACGUCGCAAGACCAAAGAGGGGGACCUUAGGGCCUCUUGCCAUCGGAUGUGCCCAGAUGGGAUUAGCUAGUAGGUGGGGUAACGGCUCACCUAGGCGACGAUCCCUAGCUGGUCUGAGAGGAUGACCAGCCACACUGGAACUGAGACACGGUCCAGACUCCUACGGGAGGCAGCAGUGGGGAAUAUUGCACAAUGGGCGCAAGCCUGAUGCAGCCAUGCCGCGUGUAUGAAGAAGGCCUUCGGGUUGUAAAGUACUUUCAGCGGGGAGGAAGGGAGUAAAGUUAAUACCUUUGCUCAUUGACGUUACCCGCAGAAGAAGCACCGGCUAACUCCGUG
rnacentral:rRNA from 1 species